rnacentral:lncRNA from 1 species
AUGUGCUCGCAGGAGACGGACAUCGAGUCUGACGAGUCCCAGAGUCUGCUGCUGGUCCCGGUGGAGCUCUGCGUGGACACGCCGUCGUUCUCCGCGGACACGCCGUCGUCCUACGCGAACACGCCCUCGCCCUGGAUGAACACGCCAUCGCUCUGCGCGGACACGCCGCCGUCCAUCCCCAACACGCCGCUGCCGUUCCCGGCGUGUUUUGAACAGUCGACCACCGGCACACAAACCUGCUUGUUAAAGCAGGAGCCAGCGGAGAACCCAGCCGAAGAGUUCGGUCCUGUGCGGAGUGUUGGUCAACAGGAGGCUCUGUUCCGAAAGGCAAGAUCCAGUUCUCCCCCCGGUACUUUCCAAAAACCGGGUCCUCCUCUGCCCACGCCCCCCCGCCGGGCUCAUUCCGUCCCACCUCCACCGCCGUCGCCGCUGCCAGCGUCCGGUCCGGAGCCCGGCGUCAAGUCCAGCAGCUUCUGGAAGAGCUGCAACGCCACCGGGCGGACGCGGGCCAUCUUCGACGACUUCUUUCGUGAGAUGAGCGGCGUCGCCGAGAGGAUCCUGCUGGAGCAAGCCAGCGACGAGGAUUACGAUGUGGCUCUGUCCGUCUUGGCCGCUAUGGGGAAGCUGCCGGCGUACGUGUCCAAGCAGCAGGAAGAGUUACAGAGGAAGCAGCAGGAAGUGGGGAAGGCUUGUGCGGCCAUGUUGGACGUCGUCGCAGCGCUGAAGAAAAUCCCAUCUGCAGCAGGAGCCGGAGCUUCAGCCUCACUCUGA